rnacentral:rRNA from 1 species
AUACGUAGGGUGCGAGCGUUGUCCGGAAUUACUGGGCGUAAAGAGCUCGUAGGUGGUUUGUCGCGUUGUUCGUGAAAACUCACAGCUUAACUGUGAGCGUGCGGGCGAUACGGGCAGACUGGAGUACUGCAGGGGAGACUGGAAUUCCUGGUGUAGCGGUGGAAUGCGCAGAUAUCAGGAGGAACACCGGUGGCGAAGGCGGGUCUCUGGGCAGUAACUGACGCUGAGGAGCGAAAGCGUGGGGAGCGAACA